GUGUCAGCAGCCGCGGUAAUACGUAGGGGGCAAGCGUUGUCCGGAAUUAUUGGGCGUAAAGCGCGCGCAGGCGGCUUACUAAGUCUGGUGUGAAAGCCCACGGCUCAACCGUGGAGGGCCAUUGGAAACUGGUAAGCUUGAGUGCAGGAGAGGAGAGCGGAAUUCCUGGUGUAGCGGUGAAAUGCGUAGAUAUCAGGAGGAACACCCGUGGCGAAGGCGGCUCUCUGGCCUGUAACUGACGCUGAGGCGCGAAAGCGUGGGGAGCAAACAGGAUUAGAUACCCUGGUAGUCCACGCCGUAAACGAUGAGUGCUAAGUGUCGGGGGUGACCAACCCUCGGUGCUGUCGCUAACGCAAUAAGCACUCCGCCUGGGGAGUACGGCCGCAAGGCUGAA
rnacentral:rRNA from 1 species